AUCACCUAGGGAUCUCAUUAAAAUGCAGAUUCUAAUUCAGUAGGUUUGGGGUGGGAGUGGAGAUUCUGCAUUUCUAACAAGCUCCCACGGGAUGCCGA
rnacentral:pre_miRNA from 1 species